rnacentral:rRNA from 1 species
UAAACAAUUUACCGAAGCUGUGGAUACCUUUAUAGGUAUGGUAGGAGAGCGUUCUAUGUGUGAUGAAGGUAUACCGUGAGGAGUGCUGGAACGCAUAGAAGUGAGAAUGCCGGUAUGAGUAGCGAAAGACAGGUGAGAAUCCUGUCCACCGUAAGACUAAGGUUUCCAGGGGAAGGCUCGUCCGCCCUGGGUUAGUCGGGACCUAAGGAGAGACCGAAAGGUGUAUAGCAGUGAGGUGUGAAUUGAGUCAAAUGCUUAAUUCUAUAACAUUGUGCUGUGAUGGGGAGCGAAGUUUAGUAGCGAAGUUAGUGAUGUCACACUGCCAAGAAAAGCUUCUAGCGUAAACACUCUACCCGUACCGCAAACCGACACAGGUAGUCGAGGCGAGUAGCCUCAGGUGAGCGAGAGAACUCUCGUUAAGGAACUCGGCAAAAUGACCCCGUAACUUCGGGAGAAGGGGUGCUGACUUUAGGUCAGCCGCAGUGAAUAGGCCCAAGCAACUGUUUAUCAAAAACACAGCUCUCUGCUAAAUCGUAAGAUGAUGUAUAGGGGGUGACGCCUGCCCGGUGCUGGAAGGUUAAGAGGAGUGCUUAGCGUAAGCGAAGGUAUGAAUUGAAGCCCCAGUAAACGGCGGCCGUAACUAUAACGGUCCUAAGGUAGCGAAAUUCCUUGUCGGGUAAGUUCCGACCCGCACGAAAGGCGUAAUGAUUUGGGCACUGUCUCAACGAGAGACUCGGUGAAAUUUUAGUACCUGUGAAGAUGCAGGUUACCCGCGACAGGACGGAAAGACCCCAUGGAGCUUUACUGCAGUUUGAUAUUGAGUGUCUGUACCACAUGUACAGGAUAGGUAGGAGUCUAAGAGAUCGGGACGCCAGUUUCGAAGGAGACGCUGUUGGGAUACUACCCUUGUGUUAUGGCCACUCUAACCCAGAUAGGUGAUCCCUAUCGGAGACAGUGUCUGACGGGCAGUUUGACUGGGGCGGUCGCCUCCUAAAAGGUAACGGAGGCGCCCAAAGGUUCCCUCAGAAUGGUUGGAAAUCAUUCGCAGAGUGUAAAGGUAUAAGGGAGCUUGACUGCGAGAGCUACAACUCGAGCAGGGACGAAAGUCGGCUUAGUGAUCCGGUGGUUCCGUAUGGAAGGGCCAUCGCUCAACGGAUAUCGCUGGGUAGCUAUGUAAAUAAACGCUGAAAGCAUCUAAGUGUGAAACCCACCUCAAGAUGAGAUUUCCCAUGAUUAUAUAUCAGUAAGAGCCCUGAGAGAUGAUCAGGUAGAUAGGUUAGAAGUGGAAGUGUGGCGACCAUGUAGCGGACUAAACUAAUAGCUCGAGGACUUAUCCAA